CUUCACCCAGCUCCCCUGUGGUAACAUCUUGCAUAGCUGGAGGAGACCAACCAGGACAUCAACACAUUAGGAGACAGUCCAUCCAUCCUACUCCAACUCUUGGUUUUGCAUGGCAUUGUGUGGUGUGUGUGUGUGUGUGAAUGUGGGUGUGUAUGUGUGUGCAUAGUAUGUGUGGUGCAUGGUGUGUGUAUGCAUGUGUGGGUGUGUGUAUGUGUGUGGUGUGUGUAUAUGUGUGUGGUGUGUGUGCGUGUAUGUGGGUGUCUGGGGUAUGUGUGUGGUGUGUGUGCGGUGUGUGUGUGUAUGGUGUACAGUGUGGAGGUGUGGGCGUGUGUGCUGUGUAUGUGAUGUGUGUAUGUGUGUGGUGUAUGUGUGUAGUGUUUAUGUAUAUGUGUGUGUGGUGUAUGUGGCUCUGUGGUGUGUUUGGGUGUGUGGUGAGUGUGGUAUGUUGUGUGUGUGCAGUGCGUGUAUGUGUGGUGUAUAUGUAUGUGUGUGUAUGGUGUGUGUGUAUGUGUGUAGUGCGUGUGUGGUGUGUGGUAUGUGUGGUGUUUGUGUGGGGAGGUUUGUGGAUGUGUAUGUGGGUGGGGUGUGGGUGUGUGGUGUAUGUGUGUGUGUGCAUGUGUGUGUAUAUGUGUGUGUGUGGGUAUUGGUGUGUGCAUGUGUAUGCAUGUGUGUGGUGUGAUGUGUAUGGGUGUGUAUGUGUGUGGUGUGUAUAUGUGUGUAGGUGUGUAUUCGUGUGUGUGGUGUGUAGCAUGUGUGUGGGUGUGUAUUCAUGUGGGGGUGUGUGGGGGUGUAUGCAUGUGUGGUGUGUGUGUGCAUGUGUGUGGUGUGUGUGUGCCUGUGUGUGGUGUAUGUAUGCAUGUGUGGUGUGUAUGUAUGGUAUGCGUGUGGGUGUGUGGUGUGUUUGUGUCCGCCAGUGUGUGGGUGUGUAUGCAUGUGUGCUGUGUGUGUGUGCCUGUGUGUGGUGUGUGUGUGCCUGUGUGUGGUGUGUGGGUGUGUAUGCAUGUGUGUGUGCAUGUGUGGUGUGUGUGCAUGUGUGUGGUGUGUGUGCCUGUGUGUGGUGUAUGUAUGCAUGUGUGGUAUGUAUGGUAUGCGUGUGUGUGUGUGUGGUGUUGGGGCGCAGGGCCACACCCGCCUUUGUGUGUGCCUGUAUGUGGUG
rnacentral:lncRNA from 13 species